AGUGAACGCUGGCGGUAGGCCUAACACAUGCAAGUCGAACGGCAGCACAGUAAGAGCUUGCUCUUACGGGUGGCGAGUGGCGGACGGGUGAGGAAUACAUCGGAAUCUACUUUUUCGUAGGGGAUAACGUAGGGAAACUUACGCUAAUACCGCAUACGACCUACGGGUGAAAGCAGGGGAUCUUCGGACCUUGCGCGAUUGAAUGAGCCGAUGUCGGAUUAGGUAGUUGGCGGGGUAAAGGCCCACCAAGGCGACGAUCCGUAGCUGGUCUGAGAGGAUGAUCAGCCACACUGGAACUGAGGCACGGCCCAGACUCCUACGGUGGGCAGCAGUGGGGAAUAUUGGACGAUGGGCGCAAGCCUGAUCCAGCCAUACCGCGUGGGUGAAGAAGGCCUUCGGGUUGUAAAGCCCUUUUGUUGGGAAAGAAAAGCAGCAGGUUAAUACCCCGCUGUUCUGACGGUACCCAAAGAAUAAGCACCGGCUAACUUCGUG
rnacentral:rRNA from 1 species